GUGCCAGCAGCCGCGGUAAUACAGAGGUCCCGAGCGUUUUUCGGAUUCACUGGGCGUAAAGGGUGCGUAGGUGGUGAGGUAAGUCGGAUGUGAAAUCUCCGAGCUCAACUCGGAAAUGGCAUUGGAAACUACCUUGCUAGAGGGUUGGAGGGGGGACUGGAAUACUUGGCGUAGCAGUGAAAUGCGUAGAUAUCAAGUGGAACACCAGUGGCGAAGGCGAGUCCCUGGACAACACCUGACACUGAGGCACGAAAGCUAGGGGAGCAAACAGGAUUAGAUACCCUGGUAGUCC
rnacentral:rRNA from 1 species